GCCCGCACCUCGGGGGGCCCUACUGGGCUGAGAUGCGGCAACGCGGACCCGUUGAACCUGAACCGGUUAGGACCGGCGGAGGGAAGGUGCGUGGCCCGGCC
rnacentral:ncRNA from 2 species